GCCUUCGUUUGGGACCAGCAAGAAUGGAGCGGUUACGUUCAUUUUUGACGGAGAUACGUAUGCGGAUGGAAGGGAAAGCGCCGCCAUAGUCACAGUAUGGAAAGCAGCGAGAAUCCGAAGCUAUCUCAGGACUGUAUUAUCAAUGUCUCCUGUUACUACCCACUACAUUGUAAACCAUACUAUUCAGCUA